rnacentral:lncRNA from 1 species
CUGGAUGGAGCAACAAGAGUCUGGGCUAUUAACACAGGUUUGAGUCAGGCUGACCGGAGCUGUAAAGCCCUUCUCGUUCUCACUGUGUGUUCUUUUCAGUUCUGUCUUCCUGAGGCUGCUGUUUCUGGGCAUGGCCAGGGGAUCUUCAGACUUUACAAACCAGUUGUGCAGAGCCAGGCAUUUCAAUAAGGAACAAAAUGCUGAGUAACAACAUGAAGUCAGAGUGUUGCUUGCCAAGAGCUGGGAGGCCUGGGUGGUUUCCCAAUCUUAAAGAAGCAGAAGGAUAUUAAAGUGAGCCUCCCAAAGGAAAACGUGGAUCUACUUACCAACGCAGAAAAUGAUACACACGGAUUCGAUUUAGGCACGCUACAUUCAAAUGACUUGGAAGAGCAGGUUCUCUGAGCCAGGAUACUAAAGUCCCUGUUUAGGAAAGAGCCACGUUGUAUGUUUACCCUACCACAAAGAUACAGUCAUGUGCCUGGGAAAGAUUGAUGCCAGCUCCAGAAAGGCAUCCGAAUGGUCUAAGUAAUGCCAUCCAUCUGUCAGUAAUAGAUUCAGAAAUGGGUAUGUGAUUCAAGUCUGGCCAAUGAGAUGUAUGCAGAAGAGUGCUGGGUAUUCUGGAAAAUUAUCCCUUGUCAUUCAGAGAUCCACAGGAAUCCAGCCUUUUGCUCCUUGAAUGGGAUAAGGAAGCACAUAAUCCCAGUUGCUCUUCCAGUCAUCCCAGACCCACAGCCCUGCUUUAGCCAUCCUAUAGCCAUCAUAUAUUCACAAGGGGAGAGCAACUGAGGACAACACUGUGGAUCCUUGUGACAUAACCAAGCCAGUGAACCAAUCAAUACAUUUAUUUAUUGUUUGAG